rnacentral:tRNA from 1 species
GGGCAGGUGGCGGAACGGUAUACGCGCUAGGCUUAGGACCUAGUGAGAGCAAUCUCGUGAGAGUUCAAGUCUCUCCCUGCCCACCA